GCUUUGCAUGGCUUGCCGACAUUUAUUACGAUUUAUUACGAUUCAAUACUAACAUAUCUGCUAACAUAUAGUUACAAUACAAAAACAUCAGUAGGAAUAUUGUCACAUUCCUGUUUCAAUCAAAUAAAGGUAAAUUGAACGGCUGAUAGGGCUAUUAUGUGCAGCCUGGGCUCUUUUGGCAGCCAUUUAAAAUUACUCCUGUUUUAGAGAAACUGAUUUAAAUGGACUUAAUUUGGAUAAGGAAUCAAACAUGCAGGUUGUUACGAACAAUGAGAUAAUGGAUAGCAUUGGCUAACUCAGCAACACGUGCUCUGGGGUUACUCAUCUCCAAAGAUAAAGCGUUCAGAGGGAUGCGUUUGAUGUCUUCAACAAGCUCUACGAUACCUUGUAUGGCCGAUCAUCAGCUACGGCGCCGUCAUAUGGAGAGCUUAGGAAUUUUCCUGCAUCAACGCUGUACAGCACCACGCAGGAAGAUACUUCCUUGGCGUUUACAGGUACACACUGAAUGCGGCUGUCAAUGGCGACAUGGGAUGGGAACCUCCGAUCGUCCGUCAGUGGAAGUGCAUAAUGGGACACUACUUCCACUGUGUGCACAUGGACAGCACGCGACUGAACAAAGUGUUUUCUUUAAGUCGUAUCGUAACCGCAAACGUCACAAAAAUAUUUACAUAGACAUAUAAUACCAACCUCUACAUGCAAACGGAUAACCAAUUAAGAAGUGACUAUUAUGCUUAAAAAUAUAAAAACAACCGAAAACAUGCGUUAACCAGGCAAGAGGCGGAAGAAAUACGCUAAGAAUGAUAAAACAUUUAAAACUAGUUUUGAGACUGAACCCUAUCUGAAAUGUUAUAGUAUGUCAAGGGUAAGAAGAAGUGCACUAUCUAAAUUUAGAUGCGGGGUUGCACCCCUUAGAAUAGAAACAGGCAGAUACGAGGGAGUACCCGAACAUGAACGGACCUGCUUUCACUGCCUCAUAUAGAAAAUGAAGAACAUGUGUUAAUGCACUGCAACUUGUAUGACAGAAUUCGCCAAGAUAUAUUUGUUAACGUUAUGAAUAUUGAACCUGAUUUUUUAUCGUUAAAAACUUCAGAACAAUUUUGGCAGUUAAUGUCUAAUGAGUCCUUUGUUAAAUACUAUGCCAAAGCCUGCAAUGACAUUUUAAUACAUCGUAAACACUGUUUAUAUGUGUGGUACUUUUACACGUGUAUCUAUCUGUACCUUUUAACAUGUUUAAAUGAUAUUUAUAUCACGAUAAAUCUGUUCAUAGUCUCUUGUAACUCAAAUUGAGAGGUUUUGUACAUUAUAUUGUUUGUAUUUUAACUAAACUACCUUGUAUUAUAUUCUAUUAAAUGACACAUGUUAUAAUCAUAUAUAUAAUUGUAUGUGCAGAACUGAGACUUUAAUAAACUGUCUGUCUGUCUACAGUUGCGCACUACGGUACCUUUAAAAAAGUAAUUAAAAGUAUUUGAGAUCGCAAUACUUGUUAGCAUCCGUAUUGAAUUAAUAUGAUAAUGCAUUAUUGUAUUUCAUUUAUGUUUUCUCAAAAAUAUGUUUUUAUUGAUUUGCAUGUCUAUGUGUUUUAUGUGAAAAGAAAAUUGCUUCCUGUCACCUAUGCUCUACAACCACCCUACUUUACAGCGUUACAUCGAAUAGCUAGCGGUCUUGGAGUCUUUCUGUUAAUCGAUCAAUUUUAUUUCUUGUCAUUCUUGUGCACAAUAAUACAAAGUCAACCAUUCAUAAUUAAUUGUAAUUAACACCUACACAAAUCUAGCCUGAUCACACAGUUUCUCAAGUACGUGUAAAAUUGACACACACAGUUGGUAACGCGCUUAUUAUCUUCUACCCUCCGCAAUUAAUUAGCGCCGUUUUUAAUAAUGGAGGGCUCUAUUUAAAAAGGGAUUACUGAGAACUUAAAGAGUGAAAGCCGAACAAUUAGAAGCAUGCGAUAAUAUCACCUGUUAAUCUUGAUUUAUCAACCUCAUUACUAGUUUACAAAGAACUCAUACCUUUAUUUGAAAGGUCUCUGAAAUUUAGAUGCUAUUGACAAUAAACAAACAUAUUAAAAUCAUUGCUAGAAUACGCCUUUCAUCGCAUUCUAGUAUGUUGUUAAUUGAAACUGGCAGACAUCAUAACAUUAGAAGAAACAAAAUAAUUUAUGCUUUAUGUAAUCUUAACGAUUUAGAAGACGAAUAUCACUUUUACUUAAAUGUUCGUUUUAUUUAAAAGAAAGAUCCAAAUACAUAACUACACACUUCUCAUUAAUACCAAGUACCAGUAUAUACAUAAUUUUGUUGUAAACUUUUAAAUAGGAAUAAUACAGAUACUCUUAGGAAGUGAGCAAUUUACUGCAUAAUAUGCGUUAAGAAAAGAUAUACUUAUGUUCUUCUGUAACUAAACGUUUAUUAUUGUCAUUUAUGUACCGUUUCUUAUGAAAUGAAUGUACUUUGUUUUAGACUGUUACCGAUUUCUGUAAACUUGUAUAAUGUAUUUUGAAAUGAAUGUACUUUGUUGUGCCUGUUUCAACUGGUUUUCGUAAACAUGCUGUUUAUACUCAAUUCAUUGUUGAUAUGAACACACAACAAAUACUUAUUAGUAUUUAAAUUACUCUAGGAUAGGUGCCCCCAGGAGAAGUGCCCCCUCAAGGAUUUUUCACUGGGCGGAGAACUGCCCCCUCACUGUUUUUUUUAUUGGGCGGAGAACUGCCCUCCUGCUGAAAAAUAGGGAGCGCAGAAGUGGCCUCCUGUCAGAAUUGAUGACCCGGAGAUGUUCCCCCUAAAUAAAGAAAUUUCGCGGCAAGUAAAGUCGAUAUAUAGAGCGAGUAUUACAAUGACAAAAACGCCAUGCGUAAAAACGUAACUUUCUUGCUAAUAUGGUUGGAAAGUGAGCGAAAUUUCAUGGAGAGACACGAAAGGAAGCUUUUGGAGAACCUCGAUUGUCUGUUGCCGGCACAAAGCUGUUAUGGGUUCCUUGAAGUGCUGCAGGAGUUGAAAUUGAGUGCAGAGAAUGGUUUCAAACAGCCUCUGAUCGUGACGGUGGCAGAAAAGCAAGGACGGACAAGAAACGUGAUGAAGCGUCGCAAUUUAUUAUAACUCGUUUGUUUAAACUGUGAAUUAAGUCUUCUACUGGAAUCAUUUAUUAUGUUAAUAAAAGGUCUCUUUGAACUUGUAAUUAAUUAUUUUACACAAUGUUUAUGCAUAAUGAUGGAAGCAGUGUUUUUUAUGCUCCCCCAAAUUUUUUUGGGGGAGCAUAUAGUCGCCGCUUCGUCUGUCCGUGCGUGUGUCCGUUCGUUCGUGCACAAUUUUUGUCCGGGCUAUUUCUCAGCAAUUAAUGACCGGAAUUCAAUUAAACUUUAUGGGAAGCUUCACUACCAAGAGGAGAUGUGCAUAUUAUCAGCCGGUUCUGGUCGGAUUAUUUUUCACAGAGUUAUGGCCCUUUGAAAUUUUCCAUUUACUGUACAUAUAGUGCAAUUCUUGUCCGGGCUAUUUCUCCCCAACUACUGACUGGAAUUCAAUGAAGCUUUAUGAGAAGCUUAACUACCUUUAGGAGAUGCGCAUGUAAUUUGUGGGUUCUGGUUAGAUGAUUAUUUAGAGAGUUAUGGCCCUUUGAAAUUUUUAAGUUGCUAAACCAUCCAUCGUAUGAUUUUGUUCAAAGUUAUGCCCCUCAAGACGUUUCCUUUUAUCUGAAUAUAUAGUGCAAUAUUGUGACAAAAAACCUUUGGGGAGCAUCACCCGUCUCCGACGGUUUCUUGUUUUAAUAUUAGUUGUAGCCUUUAUUACCUAAAUAGCUUAAAUUAAGUAUGUGUUACUUUUCAAUAUAUUUGUGUUAUAAUCAUUUUAAUUUGUCUUUUUUUUUAAAGAAAACUCAGUCGAUUUGUCAUUAAACAGUUUGUUUAAAAAUGUUAACUUUUUAGAUGCUGUAUCA